rnacentral:rRNA from 1 species
UGGGGAAUAUUGGACAAUGGGCGAAAGCCUGAUCCAGCAAUGCCGCGUGAGUGAUGAAGGCCUUAGGGUUGUAAAGCUCUUUUACCCGGGAUGAUAAUGACAGUACCGGGAGAAUAAGCUCCGGCUAACUCCGUGCCAGCAGCCGCGGUAAUACGGAGGGAGCUAGCGUUGUUCGGAAUUACUGGGCGUAAAGCGCACGUAGGCGGCUUUGUAAGUUAGAGGUGAAAGCCUGGAGCUCAACUCCAGAAUUGCCUUUAAGACUGCAUCGCUCGAAUCCAGGAGAGGUGAGUGGAAUUCCGAGUGUAGAGGUGAAAUUCGUAGAUAUUCGGAAGAACACCAGUGGCGAAGGCGGCUCACUGGACUGGUAUUGACGCUGAGGUGCGAAAAGCGUGGGGAGCAAACAGGAUUAGAUACCCUGGUAGUCCACGCCGUAAACGAUGAUAACUAGCUGUCCGGGGACUUGGUCCUUGGGUGGCGCAGCUAACGCAUUAAGUUAUCCGCCU